AACGAACGCUGGCGGUAUGCCUAACACAUGCAAGUCGAACGAGACCUUCGGGUCUAGUGGCGCACGGGUGCGUAACGCGUGGGAACCUGCCCUUAGGUUCGGAAUAACUCCCCGAAAGGGGUGCUAAUACCGGAUAAUGUCUUCGGACCAAAGAUUUAUCGCCUUUGGAUGGGCCCGCGUUGGAUUAGCUAGUUGGUAGGGUAAAAGCCUACCAAGGCGACGAUCCAUAGCUGGUCUGAGAGGAUGAUCAGCCACACUGGGACUGAGACACGGCCCAGACUCCUACGGGAGGCAGCAGUAGGGAAUAUUAGACAAUGAGCGAAAGCCUGAUCCAGCAAUGCCGCGUGAGUGAUGAAGGCCUUAGGGUUGUAAAGCUCUUUUACCCGGGAUGAUAAUGACAGUACCGGGAGAAUAAGCUCCGGCUAACUCCGUG
rnacentral:rRNA from 1 species